AUACGGAGGGUGCAAGCGUUACUCGGAAUCACUGGGCGUAAAGCGCGCGCAGGCGGUCUUUUAAGUUGGAUGUGAAAGCCUACGGCUCAACCGUAGAACUGCAUCCAAAACUAUUAGACUAGAGUGUGGGAGAGGAAGAUGGAAUUAGUUGUGUAGGGGUAAAAUCCGUAGAGAUAACUAGGGAUACCAAAAGCGAAGGCAAUCUUCUGGAACACUACUGACGCUGAGGCGCGAAAGCGUGGGGAGCAAACAGGAUUAGAUACCCUAGUAGUCC
rnacentral:rRNA from 1 species